CACGUGGGCAACCUGCCCGCAAGACCGGGAGUAAUUCCGGGAAACCGGGGCGUAAUACCGGAUAUGUCUUUCCUUUCCGCAUGAGGGAAAGGGAAAGGAAUCGCUUCUACAGCGGUCACUUGCGGAUGGGCCCGCGGCGCAUUAGUUUGUUGGUGGGGUAACGGCCUACCAAGGCGACGAUGCGUAGCCGACCUGAGAGGGUGACCGGCCACACUGGGACUGAGACACGGCCCAGACUCCUACGGGAGGCAGCAGUAGGGAAUUUUCCGCAAUGGACGAAAGUCUGACGGAGCAACGCCG
rnacentral:rRNA from 1 species